GACGAACGCUGGCGGCGUGCUUAACACAUGCAAGUCGAACGGUAAGGCCCUUCGGGGUACACGAGUGGCGAACGGGUGAGUAACACGUGGGUGAUCUGCCCUGCACUUUGGGAUAAGCCUGGGAAACUGGGUCUAAUACCGGAUAGGACCAUGGACUUCACGGUUUGUGGUGGAAAGCUUUUGCGGUGUGGGAUGGGCCCGCGGCCUAUCAGCUUGUUGGUGGGGUAAUGGCCUACCAAGGCGACGACGGGUAGCCGGCCUGAGAGGGUGUCCGGCCGCACUGGGACGGAGAUACGGCCCAGACGCCUACGGGAGGCAGCAGUGGGGAAUAUUGCACAAUGGGCGCAAGCCUGAUGCAGCGACGCCGCGUGGGGGAUGACGGCCUUCGGGUUGUAAACCUCUUUCAGCACCGACGAAGCGCAAGUGACGGUAGGUGCAGAAGAAGGACCGGCCAACUACGUGCCAGCCGCCGCCGUAA
rnacentral:rRNA from 1 species